UCAAGGGCAUGCAAAUGAAACGCCAUGAAACACAAGGACGCCGGAAUAAAAGCAGGCGUUUUUAGGCAACUCUGCACAUAUUGUUUCCAAAGCUCCAUUAUCGAAGGUGUUCAGAGUCAUCGUGAAGGGAAAGAUGAAGAUUGUCUUACUCGCUCUUGUUUGUAUCCAUGUCAUUUUUGCGUCCGAGCGCCGUGCACUUUGUUCCCCAAAGAACAUUAAAAUAUGCUCAUAUGGUGAUUUUUCAACGUGUUACUGGGACUGUGUAAGAUGUUCUGAAAACUAUUCUCAAUGUCCAGGGGACUCUCACUCCAUCGAAUGCUAUAAGGUCUGCAAAUAUGCGAAGGGGAGAUUCGUGAGAAUCUGGCAUCAUGGAAGGGAAAUCAUCAAUUGAUAACGCAUUAUGAAUAUUGAAUAUAUGCAGCGAUUCAAUAUAGACUCAACUUAUACCAAAUGAAAUUAUAACUGCA